rnacentral:rRNA from 1 species
GACAGCAGUCGCCGCGGGAAUACGUAGGUCCCGAGCGUUGUCCGAAUUUAUUUGGCGUAAAGCGAGCGCAGGCGGUUAGAUAAGUCUGAAGUUAAAGGCUGUGGCUUAACCAUAGUACGCUUUGGAAACUGUUUAACUUGAGUGCAAGAGGGGAGAGUGGAAUUCCAUGUGUAGCGGUGAAAUGCGUAGAUAUAUGGAGGAACACCGGUGGCGAAAGCGGCUCUCUGGCUUGUAACUGACGCUGAGGCUCGAAAGCGUGGGGAGCAAACAGGAUUAGAUACCCCUGUAGUCCCUGUCUCUUAUACA